GGGGAAUGCCGGCGUGCUUACACAUGCAAGUCGAACGAUGAUGCCCAGCUUGCUGGGUGGAUUAGUGGCGAACGGGUGAGUAACACGUGAGUAACCUGCCCCUGACUCUGGGAUAAGCGUUGGAAACGACGUCUAAUACUGGAUAUGAUCACUGGCCGCAUGGUCUGGUGGUGGAAAGAUUUUUUGGUUGGGGAUGGACUCGCGGCCUAUCAGCUUGUUGGUGAGGUAAUGGCUCACCAAGGCGACGACGGGUAGCCGGCCUGAGAGGGUGACCGGCCACACUGGGACUGAGACACGGCCCAGACUCCUACGGGAGGCAGCAGUGGGGAAUAUUGCACAAUGGGCGAAAGCCUGAUGCAGCAACGCCGCGUGAGGGAUGACGGCCUUCGGGUUGUAAACCUCUUUUAGUAGGGAAGAAGCGAAAGUGACGGUACCUGCAGAAAAAGCACCGGCUAAUUACGUGCCACCAGCCGCGGUAAUAC
rnacentral:rRNA from 1 species